AAAGGAAAUUUACGGGUGGUAAAGAUGGACUAAGCCGUUUAUGGAUUUUACGACUACACUGAUAUAAGUUUAAAAUCCUGUUUUCUUCUGUUUUGGAAAGACAAAGUUUUCUUGGAUUGUUGAUCUGCUCUUCAUAAGAAAAUCGAUCACAGUCUUGGAACCACCACCUGGAUGACGAAAUGCAACCUUACCGUGCUUCCUACCUCCUACUGACUCCCACCGAACGUCCCCCAAAGACUGCAGAUCAAAACAGCCAGUUGCAAGAGAGCCUGGAGGUGGUGGAGCAGAAGAUGCAGCAGACCCUGAGGAAGGUUAAGACGCUGUGCGAGGUGGAAACCAAGCGGGCCCAGAUGGUGGGCGCCCUCUGAAAUGUGGGGCCCGCCUUUCCUCCUGGGUCCCAUGAUGGGAAUGUCAUUUUCAUGGCCUUUCGAUCUUGUAUCACGAUUAUCACCGGUAACAUCGGCGAACCAAAAUCCGUUAACAAGGUGAGAUCUCUUUUCGGUAUUACUUUGAGACUGGAAUGCUUUUCAAAAGGCAGGCAUCAUCCCCAUUUUUUUCACCUCUCGUUUUGUCCGAUGUGUGGUUUGCAGUUGGCUGCAACAAAGACUCACUGCUUUUCAGAGUUACGUCAACGACUUAAAUCUCAAGAUAUUAGCCUUGGAUAGGACAGGGGUGCUUGGCGGGCUCAAUCUGUGGAGCUUUGGACUGGAUAUCAGCCUCACGAGUUUGAGCCCCACGUAGGAUAUAGAGCUUACAAAAAAUUAUUAAAUGAAAGCAUGGACUAUUUCCCAGAAAUAAGAAAAUCUUAUUCUGUUUUUCUUUUAAUAUGAAAUUUAUUGUAAAAUUUUGUUCCAUACAACACCCAGUGUUCAACCCAACACAUUCCCUCCUGAAUACCCAUUGACUACCCUCCCCUCCCUCCAACCCCCUAUCCGCCCUCAGUUUCUUCUCAGUUUUUGAGUCUCAUGCUUUGGCUCUCUCCCACUCUAACCUCUUUUUUUUUUCCUACGCCUUCUUCAUGGGUUCCUUUUAAGUUUCUGCGGAUUCACAUAAGAGUGAAAACAUAUCGUAUCUGUCUUUCACUUACCAUUAACACUCUCCAGUUCAAUCCACAUUGCUACAAUGGUCCAUAUUUUAUUCUCAUUGCACGUAGUACUCCAUUGUGUAUAUAAACCACAGUUUCUUCAUCCAUGAUGAAGACGGAUCAUCCAUCAAUGAUCCGUUGAUGGACAUUCAGACUCUUUCCACAAUUUGGUUAUUUUGACAAUGGUGCUAUUAAUAUUGGGAUACAGGGGCCCCUAUGCGUCAGUACUCCUGUAUCUCUUGAGUAAAUUCCUAGCAGUGCUACUGUUGUGUCAUAGUUCAGAUCUAUUUUUAAUUUUUUGAGGAAACUCAACACUGUUUUCCAGAGCUGUUGCAGCAGUUUGCAUUCCCACCAACGGUGCACGAGGGCUCCUGUUUCACCACAUCCUCGCCAGGAUCUAUAUUCUCCUGAAUUGUUCAUUUACCCCACAAUGAAUGGUGGAGGUGAUAUCUGAGUGUCCUUUUUAUUUGUAUUUCCCUGAUGAGGAGCGAGGUUGAGCA